UUUAUAAAUUCAAGAGAGGAGGGGCUCCCUUGCUUUUCCCUCCUUCCUGUUGCUACUCGUCUCUUCUGUGAAGCUGACCUAUUUACACCUCCUCUGAAAAGUUGGUUGCCGAAGCUGGAUGAGAAACUCUGAGACGGAUGUGGUCCUGACCAGGACAGUGGCAAGGCACGUGACAGGUGGCUAGCAAAUUGGAGCCUCAGUCCAACAGAUUCAGAGAGUUUCCUCAUUUACGAAAUGGGCGUAACGCCAUCUACUUUUCCCCACCGCCCAGGGAUGUCAUGAGAACAAAAGUAAGGUAUUCCGUGUCAAAUAAAUGCUACAACAAUUUACAGUAAAAGUACACAGUGGAAGUGCCAACGUUAACACUUCUUAGGAGUGGCUCUGGGCCAAAUUUUCCCCACCAAUAUUUAACGGGAAAGAAAAUGUCCUCGCCAUUGGAAGUGUGAGCAGGAGGCAGCUUUCCUAUAUUUGGCAACACACACAUGUGAAGCCGAAACAAAAUGCCCACGAUGUUCUCUCUGUUUCAACCAUGAUGAAUUGUGUUCAUUUGUUUAAGUGCAUGUGGCAGCUUUAGUGUUUCUACUAUAAAUUUUGGUUAACUUCUAUUGACAUGCUGUAUUAAACUAAAGAAAAACAAAUUACACUUCA